rnacentral:rRNA from 1 species
AUUGAACGCUGGAGGCAGGCCUAACACAUGCAAGUCGAGCGAGCGGCGGACGGGUGAGUAAUGUAGGGGGACUGCCCGAUGGAGGGGGAUAACUACUGGAAACGGUCGCUAAUAACGCAUAACAUAGGACAACCCAUAUUGGAUUAGCUAGUAGGUGAGGUAAUGGCCCACCUAGGCGACGAUCCCUAGCGGGUCUGAGAGGAUGAUCAGCCACACUGGGACUGAGACACGGCCCAGACUCCUACGGAGGCAGCAGUGGGGAAUAUUGCACAAUGGGCGAAAGCCUGAUGCAGCCAUGCCGCGUGUAUGAAGAAGGCCCUAGGGUUGUAAAGUACUUUCAGUCGGGAGUCGUUACCGACAGAAGAAGCACCGGCUAACUCCGUGCCAGCAGCCGCGGUAAUUC